CCCUUUUCUUCCGCACGGUUGGAGGAGGUCGGCUGGUUAUCGGGAGUUGGAGGGCUGAGGUCGGGAGGGUGGUGUGUACAGAGCUCUAGGACACCAGGCCAGUCGCGGGUUUUGGGCCGAGGCCUGGGUUACAAGCAGCAAGUGCGCGGUUGGGGCCACUGCGAGGCCGUUUUAGGGUGUCAAAUUGAGAACCAGGUAGAUCCCCACCACCUACAGUAAAAAGGACCCUAAAGUAAAUUGGUUGAAGAAAUUAGAUCCCAAAGAUUCUUGGUGAAUUUUGAAGUCUUCAUCAGUAUAUCCAUAUUAAAACGAGAUGACAGAAGCCAAAGUAAUUAUGGGCUGACAGGACAACUGGAUCAGUUUCAUUAAAAAGGGCAAACUUGAAGAUAAAUCUUUUGACUCCAGCUCUUUAGAGGAUCUAAAGUGACCUUGAUGGACAGUGGAAGAAAUCACAACAUGGAAUUCCUCGAAUAACAAUUUAUUGACUUUAAAUAAUUUUGUCUAAUGCUACAUAUACACAAUUAAAAAACCUUUACACU
rnacentral:lncRNA from 1 species